CUAAUACUAAUAUGGGUCAGUGGCAACGUGUAUUUGUCUUAGCGACCCAUGCUGCCGCACUUGAAUUUGUAAUAACCUCUUCAAGUUCACUGCCUCGGCUGUCGGUGUCCCCGUAAAUACAUAUAUAUCUGUGUUUUGGUAUCGUACUCAUUAUAGGGCCGAACUCAUCUGAUCUGAACCAUAAUCUGGUACUCCUUAAUUUAGCUAGAUUAGAGAUUCAAACAUUUUUUUCGGAAGUUUGAGUUUUGGAAAGUAAACAGUAUUUCUAGUGUCAACUUAUCUUGACAAAAUCGGUGCAGGUUCCAUUCAUCUUAGUUCGAAUUGCAGAAAAUUCUGGUCAGAUAAUUACGAUGGCAUGUCCAAGGAAAAAGUUUUACAAAUUGCUGAGAAUUCAUCAUCUGCAUUUACGGUUUCUCCAAAAUUUAUUAAGAACAACUCACACGAAAGCCACAACUUCGCACUAAGACGAUUGCAGACCCAGGUCCGCUCCAUCCCAGACCCAAUGGGUUUGAGUCCGCUUCAAUCCGAGUUCAGCUCUGAGUCAACGAUUUUGUGAAUUUUGAGAUAUAUGUACAACCAGAGAAAAGCUGUGAAGGGUCAAAUGAGCAUAAUAGAAGCAGAGAAAGACGGUGACUAGUGACGGUGAGAACCCUUUUUUUAGUGUACUGUAAUCUCUUAAACAUUGCAAACAUUCUAAAAUUGUGUUCUUCUUGUACAAACUGUUGCUUUUAUUAUUGAAUACAUACAUAUGUACAAAUAUGUAUAUGCAAAUUG